rnacentral:rRNA from 1 species
CGGAGGAUCCAAGCGUUAUCCGGAUUUAUUGGGUUUAAAGGGUGCGUAGGCGGCCUGUUAAGUCAGGGGUGAAAGACGGUAGCUCAACUAUCGCAGUGCCCUUGAUACUGAUGGGCUUGAAUGGACUAGAGGUAGGCGGAAUGAGACAAGUAGCGGUGAAAUGCAUAGAUAUGUCUCAGAACACCGAUUGCGAAGGCAGCUUACUAUGGUCUUAUUGACGCUGAGGCACGAAAGCGUGGGGAUCAAACAGGAUUAGAUACCCUGGUAGUCCACGCCCUAAACGAUGAACACUCGCUGUUGGCGAUACACAGUCAGCGGCUAAGCGAAAGCGUUAAGUGUUCCACCUGGGGUGUACGCCGGCAACGGUG